rnacentral:tRNA from 1 species
GGUGAGGUGUCCGAGGCCUGGAAAGUGUGUAUACGGCAACGUAUCGGGGGUUCGAAUCCCCCCCUCACCGCCA